rnacentral:rRNA from 1 species
UACGUAGGGGGCAAGCGUUGUCCGGAUUUAUUGGGCGUAAAGAGCGUGUAGGCGGCCAUGUAGGUCCGUUGUGAAAACUCGAGGCUCAACCUCGAGACGCCGAUGGAAACCAUGUGGCUAGAGUCCGGUAGGGGAGUGUGGAAUUCCCGGUGUAGCGGUGAAAUGCGCAGAUAUCGGGAGGAACACCAGUGGCGAAGGCGGCACUCUGGGCCGGUACUGACGCUGAGGAGCGAAAGCGUGGGGAGCGAACAGG